GUUAUAAAAAUAUGCUUUAUCUUGUUUGAUAUAUUUUAAUUUUUAUUAUAAUAUAAUUCUAAUAUACAGUGUUCCGUAAGUCUGGAAUCAUAUGAGUUAUGUUGAUCUUUGUUUAUCAUUUUAUAGGUAAAAACAUGAUGCCAAGUAAGAAGGAAUAAAUUGAAGUUAUUUUGAUGGAGAGGAUGCACAGUCGCGUGAAUUUUCCAAGAAGUUUAACAGGCUGCAUUCAGAUCAUCGUGUGUGAUUAGUGGGAAGUCUCGACACAACAUAAUAAACUCUUUGGCAUCUUGUUGCCAACAGAGAUUUCCACCAUCAAAAUAACUCAAAUUUAUUUCUCCUCACUCGAUGACAUGCUUUACCUGUAAGACAGUAAGCGAAGAUCAGCAUAUAACUCUUACAGUUCAAGACUUCGGAUCCUUAUAUAUGAAAUAUAAAUCAAAUACAAUAUUUUUUGUUUCGUUUAAUUAUUUAUUAAAUAUAGAGUGGCUUGUACGAAUAUUAGGUCCUAGUCAAUACAAAGAAGGAAAUAAAACAAUAAUUUCGUUAGUACAACAUCCUCUUCUAAAUAAACAGUUGACUUACAUUCUACUCGACAUAAUAGUCCUGGAACUCUUUCCGGAACUAAAACAGACAACAGAAAGCUAGCCGUAAAAAUAUUUAAUAGAAAUUCAUCUUCGCACAAGAAAAUGACCAAAUAUGUAUAUUAUUACCUAUAUGAAUGUGCCUGUAUUGGGAAGUUUUGAUGUAUAUAAAAUAUAAAUAUCAUAUUGAUAAAAUUUAUUAUUACCCCUUCCCUGCGAUAAAAUAAAUUGUUUUUAUCUCCCAUUCUUGUAUAUGUAACGUAUUAGCUAACAUUCCAGAAAUGUGCCAUAAAAGUAAAAGUCAUCUUUUGAUUAAGAUUGUUUAUAUAAAGAAGAAAAUGAAUUGUAAUUAUGUAUAGUGUGUGCAUUAAUUUUAUAAAAAAAAAAAAAAAAUAUUCACCAUGUCUGUUCACCUGAUAGUCAUUGCAAAUUCCUUUAUCAUCUCAGAACAUGGUGGAUAAUGUAAAAUAGAAAAACGGGUGUAAAAAUAUGUUUUCAGAGAAAAAAAUAAAUGAUGAUAUAUUA